AGUAGCCGCGGGAAUACGUAGGUCCCGAGCGUUGUCCGGAUUUAUUGGGCGUAAAGGGAGCGCAGGCGGUUUAGUAAGUCUGAAGUUAAAGGCAUUGGCUCAACCAAUGUAUGCUUUGGAAACUGUUAGACUUGAGUGCAGAAGGGGAGAGUGGAAUUCCAUGUGUAGCGGUGAAAUGCGUAGAUAUAUGGAGGAACACCGGUGGCGAAAGCGGCUCUCUGGUCUGUCACUGACGCUGAGGCUCGAAAGCGUGGGUAGCGAACAGGAUUAGAUACCCGGGUAGUCCCUGUCUCUUAUACAC
rnacentral:rRNA from 1 species